rnacentral:rRNA from 1 species
GAGUUUGAUCCUGGCUCAGGAUGAACGCUGGCGGCGUGCUUAACACAUGCAAGUCGAGCGAAGCACUUAAGUCUGAUUCUUCAGAUGAAGACUUUUGUGACUGAGCGGCGGACGGGUGAGUAACGCGUGGGUAACCUGCCUCAUACAGGGGGAUAACAGUUAGAAAUGACUGCUAAUACCGCAUAAGACCACGGUACCGCAUGGUACAGUGGUAAAAACUCCGGUGGUAUGAGAUGGACCCGCGUCUGAUUAGGUAGUUGGUGGGGUAACGGCCUACCAAGCCGACGAUCAGUAGCCGACCUGAGAGGGUGACCGGCCACAUUGGGACUGAGACACGGCCCAGACUCCUACGGGAGGCAGCAGUGGGGAAUAUUGCACAAUGGAGGAAACUCUGAUGCAGCGACGCCGCGUGAAGGAUGAAGUAUUUCGGUAUGUAAACUUCUAUCAGCAGGGAAGAAAAUGACGGUACCUGACUAAGAAGCCCCGGCUAACUACGUGCCAGCAGCCGCGGUAAUUC